GACGAACGCUGGCGGCGUGCCUAAUACAUGCAAGUCGAACGAACCGCGACUAAGUGCUUGCACUAAGUCAAGGUGAGUGGCGAACGGGUGAGUAACACGUGGGUAACCUACCUCAUAGUGGGGGAUAACAGUCGGAAACGACUGCUAAUACCGCAUAGGACAUAGGAUCACAUGAUCCAGUGAGGAAAGGUGGCGCAAGCUAUCGCUAAGAGAUGGACCCGCGGUGCAUUAGCUAGUUGGUAGGGUAAAGGCCUACCAAGGCGAUGAUGCAUAGCCGACCUGAGAGGGUGAUCGGCCACAUUGGGACUGAGACACGGCCCAAACUCCUACGGGAGGCAGCAGUAGGGAAUCUUCCGCAAUGGACGCAAGUCUGACGGAGCAACGCCGCGUGAGUGAAGAAGGUCUUCGGAUCGUAAAGCUCUGUUGUUAGAAAAGAACAGCGCAUAGAGUAACUGCUAUGCGUGUGACGGUACCUAAACAGAAAGCCACGGCUAACUACGUG
rnacentral:rRNA from 1 species